rnacentral:misc_RNA from 1 species
GUGGGAGCAAGGCUUGCCCGCGAUGCAGGCAACUCGGUCCAUCAGGCAAACCGAGGUGAUGCUAUCGCGGGCAAGCCUUGCUCCCAC